UAGAAGCGUCAUAAAGAAGUUCUUAUGCCUUAUAUAUCAGGUUGAGGUCAUAUUCUAACACUUCAGACAGAACGUUCAUAUUAAGAUGGCAGUAUAGGUAAAGAAUUUCCUCCUCCAAUCCUGUUGUGGUGCAGAGCUUAAUACAGUUAAUUAAUCAAAUCCUUUUUAAUUCAUUUAACUGACAAUUGGCAGCCGCUCAGCACACCCACAUACGCCGCCACUACUUCAAUUGACUUAAUUAACCAGAAGUGCAGAUUAGGUUGGAUGAUCUGUCCUCCAAGCAAAGUCAGAGCAUAACAACAGUGACCAAUUAAUUCAAAAGCACGCUACCACUUGAGAACGGCCGACGCGUGUGUCAAACUGCAAGUGCAACUGAUCGGCACAUUAAUUUAUAAACUCACAACAAUGAGCUGAGCUUGUUGCAUGGGAGAGGAAAUAAUUAGUUGUCUUAUCAGUUAGUCCAUAACGGACAUAACUACUGUAGGAACGGCCAGUGGUGACAAGUUGCUUAUGUGGGCGUCAGAAACACCAUCAGAUCGCCGCAUUAUACAAUGGUCAGUACCAUUUAAAAAUAACUACACAUAUAUAUAGUUAUUUGUGUAGAUUGGAAUUGUCAUACGAGCGAACGGAGUGCGACGUGUUGAUUAGUACUUUGCCUUCUCUACCCAUAAACUUGAACCUAUUAAGAAUGCUAAAACGACUAAAGAAACGGUGUUGGCAACUAUUGGACAUUGUGGUCAAAACAAUAUUAAUCGUUGUGUUGUCUGUUAUUUAAAUUAAAUUAAAAUAUUGUGAAUAAAUAAUUAAUUGGCAACCGAGUGCAAGUUAAUUUUAUUAAUUGAGAUAUUUGAGCAGAACUGAGUAAACAGCAAAUAAAUUAAGUAACAUAAAAGUGAAACUUUUGAAAACUUUAGUGCCAUUGCUUAGCUCUUGGCUAGCAUUUGAUAUAUUUAAAUAUGUUGGCGAUAUUUAUAUCUGGUGGUCUAGUAAGCAUGACAGUUUGAAAAAAAAUACCAAGUACCACAAUGGAAUUUAAGUCUUCCGACUUACUUUAAUUAUAGUUAUAACGACAAUAUUAAAAAAAAUAUAUAUUUAAA